CAGAGAGAAACUCAUUCGCUGGCUUUGUUGUUGCUGUUGGCAUAAAUGGAGGAGCCCCUCUGCCAAUUGCUGCUGUUUAAUGAUAUCUUGCUGCCUUUGUCGUUGGUGCCAUGGCGGAAGAGAUUGAACAGAAAUAACUCGCUGUGACGUUGAUGGUGGGCCAUCCGCCCGGAUCUGCUGCUGCUGCUCAGUGUUCCCCGGGUGCUCUUGUCGUUGUUGUCCUGGCUGAGGGAAACUCAUUGGCUGGCUUUGAUGUUGCUGUUGCCAUGGCUGGAGGAGCUGCUCUUGCAGCUUUUGCCGUUGAUGCCGUGGCAAAGGCGAUUGAAUUGGUAGCGCAGAAUUAGCUCGCUGCGCUGUUGUUGAUGAGGCUUCCGCCCGGCUCUGCUGCUGUUUAAUAUUCUCCGGCUGCCCUUGUCUUUGUUGUCCUGGUGAGUCGAAGGCGGCUCUGCAGGUCCAAGUUG